CACGGAUCCAGAGUUUGAUCAUGGCUCAGGAUGAACGCUAGCGAUAGGCUUAACACAUGCAAGUCGAGGGGCAGCAGGGACUUCGGUCCGCUGGCGACCGGCGCACGGGUGCGUAACGCGUAUGCAACUUGCCCUGCACAGGAGGAUAACCCGUCGAAAGACGGACUAAUACUGCGUACACUCACUGGGAGGCAUCUCUUAGUGAGGAAAGAAAUUCGGUGUAGGAUAGGCAUGCGUCCCAUUAGCUAGUUGGUGAGGUAACGGCUCACCAAGGCGACGAUGGGUAGGGGAACUGAGAGGUUUAUCCCCCACACUGGUACUGAGACACGGACCAGACUCCUACGGGAGGCAGCAGUGAGGAAUAUUGGUCAAUGGGCGCGAGCCUGAACCAGCCAAGUCGCGUGAAGGAUGACUGUCUUAUGGAUUGUAAACUUCUUUUGUAUGGGAAUAACGGGGCGGACGUGUCCGCUUGUGAAUGUACCAUACGAAUAAGCAUCGGCUAACUCCGUGCCAGCAGCCGCGGUAAUACGGAGGAUGCGAGCGUUAUCCGGAUUUAUUGGGUUUAAAGGGUGCGUAGGCGGCUUGUUAAGUCAGCGGUGAAAUCGUGGGGCUCAACCCCGCAACUGCCGUUGAAACUGGCGAGCUUGAGUGUAGAUGAGGUAGGCGGAAUUCGUGGUGUAGCGGUGAAAUGCAUAGAUAUCACGAGGAACUCCGAUUGCGCAGGCAGCUUACUAAGGUACAACUGACGCUGAAGCACGAAAGCGUGGGUAUCAAACAGGAUUAGAUACCCUGGUAGUCCACGCAGUAAACGAUGAUAACUGGGCGUAUGCGAUAUACAGUAUGCUCCUAAGCGAAAGCGUUAAGUUAUCCACCUGGGGAGUACGCCGGCAACGGUGAAACUCAAAGGAAUUGACGGGGGCCCGCACAAGCGGAGGAACAUGUGGUUUAAUUCGAUGAUACGCGAGGAACCUUACCCGGGCUUGAACUGUAGGGGACGACAUCAGAGAUGGUGUUUUCUUCGGACCCCUAUGGAGGUGCUGCAUGGUUGUCGUCAGCUCGUGCCGUGAGGUGUUAGGUUAAGUCCUGCAACGAGCGCAACCCCUGUCACUAGUUGCCAUCAUUCAGUUGGGGACUCUAGUGAGACUGCCUACGCAAGUAGAGAGGAAGGUGGGGAUGACGUCAAAUCAUCACGGCCCUUACGUCUUGGGCCACACACGUAAUACAAUGGCCGGUACAGAGGGCAGCUACACGGCGAUGUGAUGCAAAUCUCGAAAGCCGGUCUCAGUUCGGAUUGGAGUCUGCAACUCGACUCUAUGAAGCUGGAAUCGCUAGUAAUCGCGCAUCAGCCAUGGCGCGGUGAAUACGUUCCCGGGCCUUGUACACACCGCCCGUCAAGCCAUGGAAGUUUGGGGUACCUGAAGUCGGUGACCGUAAAAGGAGCUGCCUAGGGUAAAACAAGUAACUAGGGCUAAGUCGUAACAAGGUAGCCGUAAGCUUCAC
rnacentral:rRNA from 1 species